rnacentral:rRNA from 2 species
AAGGAUCAUUGUCGAAACUGC